GACGAACGCUGGCGGCGUGCUUAACGCAUGCAAGUCGAACGGAAAGGCCCUGCUUUUGUGGGGUGCUCGAGUGGCGAACGGGUGAGUAACACGUGAGUAACCUGCCCUUGACUUUGGGAUAACUUCAGGAAACUGGGGCUAAUACCGGAUAGGAGCUCCUGCUGCAUGGUGGGGGUUGGAAAGUUUCGGCGGUUGGGGAUGGACUCGCGGCUUAUCAGCUUGUUGGUGGGGUAGUGGCUUACCAAGGCUUUGACGGGUAGCCGGCCUGAGAGGGUGACCGGCCACAUUGGGACUGAGAUACGGCCCAGACUCCUACGGGAGGCAGCAGUGGGGAAUAUUGCACAAUGGGCGGAAGCCUGAUGCAGCAACGCCGCGGGCGGGAUGACGGCCUUCGGGUUGUAAACCGCUUUCGCCUGUGACGAAGCGUGAGUGACGGUAAUGGGUAAAGAAGCACCGGCUAACUACGUG
rnacentral:rRNA from 1 species